rnacentral:rRNA from 1 species
GACGAACCGAGCGAACGUUGUUCGGAAUCACUGGGCUUAAAGGGUGCGUAGGCGGGCUGCCAAGUUUGGGGUGAAAUCCUCCGGCUCAACCGGGGAAGUGCCUUGAAUACUGGCGGUCCCGAGGGAGGUAGGGGCGUGCGGAACUAACGGUGGAGCGGUGAAAUGCGUUGAUAUCGUUAGGAACUCCGGUGGCGAAGGCGGCACGCUAGACCUCUUCUGACGCUGAGGCACGAAAGCCAGGGGAGCGAACGGG